rnacentral:lncRNA from 10 species
AACCAUUUGCGCAUGUGACUGCAAUCAUGUCUGGAGAUUAGUUAGGGAUGCCUUGGUUCCUUUUGAGUCUCUAUCAAAAUGCCUGGGGUUUCUUAAACAGUGGCAGCGAGUAUGCUCAGUUGAGGUAGUUGAAAUCUCACAUCAUGAACUAGCAACAGUCCCUAGUUCAGAGGAUGAUGGUAUUGGCAAGCAUUUUGUAAUCAAGAUACAAUCACAAUCUGUUAAA